rnacentral:rRNA from 1 species
AUACGGAGGGUGCGAGCGUUAAUCGGAAUUACUGGGCGUAAAGCGUACGUAGGCGGUUGGUUAAGUUAGAUGUGAAAGCCCCGGGCUUAACCUGGGAACUGCAUUUAAAACUGGCGAACUAGAGUUGAGUAGAGGGGAGUGGAAUUUCAGGUGUAGCGGUGAAAUGCGUAGAGAUCUGAAGGAACACCAGUGGCGAAGGCGACUCCCUGGACUCGAACUGACGCUGAGGUACGAAAGAGUGGGUAGCAAACGGGAUUAGAAACCCUAGUAGUCC